rnacentral:rRNA from 1 species
UGCAUAUCCAUUUAAACGGAGGAAAAGAAACCAACAGGGAUUGCCCCAGUAACGGCGAGUGAAGCGGCAAAAGCUCAAAUUUGAAAUCCUGCGGGAAUUGUAAUUUGAAGGUUUCGUGGUCUGAGUCGGCCGCGCCCAAGUCCAUUGGAACAUGGCGCCUGGGAGGGUGAGAGCCCCGUAUGGCGCACGCCGACUCUUUGCACCGCGGCUCCGACGAGUCGAGUUGUUUGGGAAUGCAGCUCUAAGUGGGUGGUAAAUUCCAUCUAAAGCUAAAUAUUGGCGAGAGACCGAUAGCGAACAAGUACAGUGAUGGAAAGAUGAAAAGCACUUUGAAAAGAGAGUGAAACAGCACGUGAAAUUGUUGAAAGGGAAGGGCUUGCAAGCAGACACGGUUUUACCGGGCCAGCGUCGAAAAGGGGGGAGGAACAAGAACUCGAGAAUGUGGCGCGCACCUUCGGGCGCGCGUGUUAUAGCUCGUGUUGACGCCUCCAUCCCUUUCGAGGCCUGCGAUUCUAGGACGCUGGCGUAAUGGUGCAAGCCUGGUGAAAAUUA